rnacentral:rRNA from 1 species
UACGUAGGGGGCUAGCGUUGUCCGGAAUCAUUGGGCGUAAAGCGCGUGUAGGCGGCCCGGUAAGUCCGCUGUGAAAGUCGGGGGCUCAACCCUCGGAUGCCGGUGGAUACUGUCGGGCUCGAGUACGGAAGAGGCGAGUGGAAUUCCUGGUGUAGCGGUGAAAUGCGCAGAUAUCAGGAAGAACACCAAUGGCGAAGGCAGCUCUCUGGGACGGUACUGACGCUGAGACGCGAAAGCGUGGGGAGCGAACAGGG